rnacentral:rRNA from 1 species
UACGAAGGGUGCAAGCGUUACUCGGAAUUACUGGGCGUAAAGCGUGCGUAGGUGGUUUGUUAAGUCUGUUGUGAAAGCCCCGGGCUCAACCUGGGAAUGGCAAUGGAUACUGGCAGGCUAGAGUGCGGUAGGGGGUAGUGGAAUUCCCGGUGUAGCGGUGAAAUGCGUAGAGAUCGGGAGGAACACCAGUGGCGAAGGCGGCUACCUGGACCAGCACUGACACUGAGGCACGAAAGCGUGGGGAGCAAACAGG